AUUGAACGCUGGCGGCAGGCCUAACACAUGCAAGUCGAGCGGCAGCGGAAAGUAGCUUGCUACUUUGCCGGCGAGCGGCGGACGGGUGAGUAAUGUCUGGGAAACUGCCUGAUGGAGGGGGAUAACUACUGGAAACGGUAGCUAAUACCGCAUAACGUCGCAAGACCAAAGAGGGGGACCCUCGGGCCUCUUGCCAUCAGAUGUGCCCAGAUGGGAUUAGCUAGUAGGUGGGGUAACGGCUCACCUGGGCGACGAUCCCUAGCUGGUCUGAGAGGAUGGCCAGCCACACUGGAACUGAGCCACGGUCCAGACUCCUACGGGAGGCAGCAGUGGGGAAUAUUGCACAAUGGGCGCAAGCCUGAUGCAGCCAUGCCGCGUGUAUGAAGAAGGCCUUCGGGUUGUAAAGUACUUUCAGCGGGGAGGAAGGUGUUGAGGUUAAUAACCUCAGCAAUUGACGUUACCCGCAGAAGAAGCACCGGCUAACUCCGUGCCAGCCGCCGCCGUAAUAC
rnacentral:rRNA from 1 species